GACGAACGCUGGCGGCGUGCCUAAUACAUGCAAGUUGAGCGCUGAAGGUUGGUACUUGUUCUAACUGGAUGAGCAGCGAACGGGUGAGUAACGCGUGGGUAAUCUGCCUUUGAGCGGGGGACAACAUUUGGAAACGAAUGCUAAUACCGCAUAAAAACUUUAAACACAAGUUUUAUGUUUGAAAGAUGCAAUUGCAUCACUCAAAGAUGAUCCCGCGUUGUAUUAGCUAGUUGGUGAGGUAAAGGCUCACCAAGGCGAUGAUACAUAGCCGACCUGAGAGGGUGAUCGGCCACAUUGGGACUGAGACACGGCCCAAACUCCUACGGGAGGCAGCAGUAGGGAAUCUUCGGCAAUGGACGAAAGUCUGACCGAGCAACGCCGCGUGAGUGAAGAAGGUUUUCGGAUCGUAAAACUCUGUUGGUAGAGAAGAACGUUGGUGAGAGUGGAAAGCUCAUCAAGUGACGGUAACUACCCAGAAAGGGACGGCUAACUACGUG
rnacentral:rRNA from 1 species